AGUUAUAUUGAAUGAUAAAAAAUGUAAAUGAUAAAAACGUGUGCUAAGGUUAUGCCUAGUCAGGCAUUUGAUGAACAAAUAAAUCUGGGUUACUAAAAAUAAAUACAUGACAUAAUCCUUUGCAUGAGAGGAUCUGGCAGAGCAAUUGGAUGCAGUCAAAAUACAUUCAUAGCAGUAUUUCUGAAUAUGCACUAGUUUCUAAAACACUAGUAAUCAUUACCAGUAAUAUUGAUGUCUUAUGUGAGCAUACAUGGUAUUGAUUAAAUGUAGAAUGAACGAAACUAUUUUACUCCUAAGUUUUUAACACCUUGUAGUAAAAUAAUUCAGAAAUUAAGGUAAAAAAAAAAAAAUGUACAAACCCCUUUAAAGCUAGUAUUAGCAAGUGAGGGGGAGCAAAAAUGGCUUUUGGUGUUCUUGAAAAAUGACUACCCAGUUAUUGCUUUAUGAUGUAUAAAACUGGCCUGAAAUGUUGAGUUUCAUUGUCUUUUAUUUGUUUUUCUAUAUAAGGGUAUCUAGGUGUUCCCUGUACUUAAUAGCAACUAUAGUAGUAGUGAAAUGAUAUCAUAGCACAUCUUCAGUUAUGAUAAAGCAGCAAUAUGCUCAGCAUUCUAAAGUUAAAUCUUCGUGCUUCUCAAAUUGAUGGCAUGGUCAGGCAAUUACAUGAAAUCAACUAGUGUAACUGUCAUUUAUGCCUGUUUGGUGUGGCCCACUUUUAGGGGUCUGGGAUCCUGGUGAAAGGAAGUCUUUGUUAUUUCUGCUUUUCAUAAAUUGCACUGCAUGAGUGAUCUAGCAACAGUCAAGCAAUUCUAGUUAAGCAAUACUCUUAACCAUGAGCUUCCCUAAAGAUGAGAAAGAGAAGAAUUUGCAAUCAGAUGCUGAAAACCCCUCCCUGCUCAGAUCUUUUCUAAAAGAGUGAAACAGAACAAAAUUCUAAUGGUAACACAAGUGGUUCUUAAACACCAGCAGUUACACUAAGUGGUGUCCUUACUCUAAGCAGGUGCCCAGAAAUAUCAGUGUUAAUGUCAGUGGUGAAUGAUGCGUAGCCAGUCUUUUGGUGGUAUAUAAUUUUUACUACAUAACUUCUUCCAGUGUAAUUUUCCAGUGUUCAGUGGUAAGGGGCAUAGUUUAUUUCAUAAUAGAAUAUUUACUUUCUAAGUAUGCAUUUUAAUUAAAUGCUUAUCAAAACUAGGGCUAACAAACAUAUCUAGUAGUUGAAAGGUUAAAACUUAGUUUUAAUUCAGGCCUCUUUAUGCAACAUAAAGAAGAAAAAUAGCAUGACCUUAAGAUGGAUACAGUACCUUUGUGAAGAAGCUGGCAGGGUAGAGAAACUUAAUGAUGUUUGAUAUCAGGUUAAGAAAAUGUAUUUGAAAAAAAUGAAUACUUAUGGACUCCUAAGUUAAAUAUGUUGCAUACACUUACUCAAAAGGUUUUGAGUUUGACUCUUUUGGAUCAGUUUCACCCAUCAUGCAGUUACACAUACAUUGUUAUAUAUUCUUUAAGAAAAUUCA